rnacentral:rRNA from 1 species
CCUACGGGUGGCAGCAGUCGGGGAUAUUGCGCAAUGGGGGAAACUCUGACGCAGUGACGCCGCGUGUGGGAAGACGGUUUUCUGGUUUUAAACUAAUUUCGUUCAGGAAGGUAAAAGACGGUACCUGAGGAGGAAGCCCCGGCUAACUAUGUGCCAGCAGCCGCGGUAAUACGUAGGGGGCAAGCGUUGUCCGGAAUUAUUGGGUGUAAAGGGUGCGUAGACGGAGAAGCAAGUUGGUUGUAAAAACCCCGGGCUCAACUGGGAAACGCACACAAAACUAUUCCUCUUGAGUGACGGAGAGGAAAGUGGAAUUCCUAGUGUAGCGGUGAAAUGCGUAGAUAUUAGGAGGAACACCAGUGGCGAAGGCGACCUUCUGGACGUUAACUGACGCUGAGGCACGAAAGUGUGGGGAGCAAACAGGAUUAGAUACCCGGGUAGUC